GGACGCAUAGCUCAGUUGGUUAGAGCACUACGUUGGACAUCGUAGGGGUCUCCCGUUCGAGUCGGGAUGUGUCCA
rnacentral:tRNA from 1 species